AUGCACAAAGGUAGAUUUGAAACUACUCAAGAUCGGUUGCGGAAGAGGCUUGUGGAUUGGAGUGAGCAAUAUAUGUCCUCGGGCAAUAAAGAGAUUCUCAUCAAGGCCGUUGCCCAAGCCAUUCCUACUUAUGUGAUGAGCGUGUUCAAGCUUCCUGCAUCGGUUUGUGACGAUCUUGUUAGAAUUAAUGGGCUAGGCCCAUAG
rnacentral:rRNA from 1 species